GCCGGUGUGAAACCGGCGCUGUCCCGCAACUGUGAUGCCCCGCUCGUCGGCCCCACGCCGGCGCCGACCGCGGGGACGAGCCAGG
rnacentral:ncRNA from 2 species